ensembl:lncRNA
AUGGUCCUGUUCUUAGAGUUGAAGGUGGGGAUGGAGGGUGGGGGGACAUUUUCUACCUUAUUUCUUUUUGUAUCGUUACAGCGACAGUCUGAGGCGAGAUAGUGAGGAGGACAGAUGUGACACACGGUGAUGGGUGUUUGUUGCUGUUUUCCUUGUAUAAGGCAUUUCCUAUGGUCGUCAGUCGGAAGCUUGCCGUGUGACCCCCUGACCCCUUACUCCUAUUGGCCGCCUCAUACUCUUCGUGCUCCGCCCCUCAGAGACAGCGGAGGUCUCGCACAGUCGCCGCUGCCGCAGUGACACCACGUCCUAUUGGGCGGAUAGAAAAGCACAGUGAACACCCCUCCUAUCCCUUUCCUUUUAUUUAUUUCAUAGGUCCCUGUAUCUGUCAAUCAAAUCGUUGAAUGAGCACCACCCUGAACUCUCUUCAUUCCCUACAUACCCUGUUUGUUUACAUCUCAGUUUGCACAAUGGUGAGAACAGGUGCUCUCCCCCCCUCUCUGUUUCUUUCUCUCUCUCUUUCUCUCUGUAAAGCGAUGAUUCUCCUCGGUCAGAGCGUGUGCUUGGUCAUCGCCAAAGCACGGGUGUCCAAGCCAGAGGGCAUCCCUCUUAUCUGGAUGAACGGACAGGAGGAGGGAAGAAAACAACAAUCCAACGCGGUCACCAUGCAUGCGGCUGGGGCAGAAAACUCUGACUCCUAUGCACCCCCCCCAGUCCUGCAGGCCCAUAAGAGUGAGCCGUGUAUGUAAAUGGUCCCUAUUUGAUAUGUUGUGGGAAUGGGAGGGGAUACGGAGUGGGACGUCCAAUCCUAUAGGUCCGCCAUUUCAGAACUGUGUCGUCUUAAAAGAGUAUUACUGUUUUAAGUUCAAUGGAAGGAGAUGCAUUUUUAUGGUGUGUAAAUGUUUCAGUGGUUCGUAAGUCAUAUGAGUGAUGCCAAGAGCCAGUGUGUGUAUAAUAAUAAUACUAAAAGAGCUCAUUGUGACAAACUCUUUAUAACACUUUACUUGCGGUGACAUGACAUAGCGCCUUAUGAGCACUGUCGUAAAAAGGGCGUAGUGCCUGUCUGAACUGUUGUAGCAUAAAAAAAGAAACUGCUUUGUCAUGCUUCUGACAGUGUGUUAUGUAGGGGUUAUGUCUCUCUGCCUGGAGUAAAGUGUUACCAUUUUAAGACCUGUGUAAAGUUCCCUCUGCAAAUGACAAGCAGCUCUUCGGUAUGAAAUGUUGUUCUUUUUCUGUUUUGUAAAAAAUAUAUUUCAUUUUAAGUGUUGACAAAGUAAACUGCCUUUGGGUUCUGUCUAAUAUAAGUCCCUACAGUCUCUAGUGUACACCUCUUGUGUGUGUGUGUGUGUGUGUGUGUGUGGACAGGUUUGGCCCUAUGUGUGGACUGUGGCUAUAAGUGUG